rnacentral:misc_RNA from 1 species
UGGUUCUGGCAUCGAUGAAGAACGCAGCGAAAUGCGAUAAGUAAUGUGAAUUGCAGAAUUCAGUGAAUCAUCGAAUCUUUGAACGCACAUUGCGCCCUUAGGUAUUCCUAGGGGCAUGCCUAUUCGAGCGUCAUUACAACCCUCAAGCGAAGCUUGGUAUUAGAUUAUUACCUGCUAGCAGGUAGAUCUCAAAAGUAGUGGCGGUGCCGUCUGGCUUCAAGCGUAGUAAUACUUUUCGCUCAGGAGACCCGACGUGUGCCUGCUAGAUAAAACCCAAUUUUACAGGUUGACCUCGGAUUAGGUAGGGAUACCCGCUGA